rnacentral:rRNA from 2 species
CGACCCCAGGUCAGGCGGGAUUC